rnacentral:rRNA from 1 species
GACGAACGCUGGCGGCGUGCUUAACACAUGCAAGUCGAACGGAAAGGCCCUGCUUGCCGGGUACUCGAGUGGCGAACGGGUGAGUAACACGUGGGUGAUCUGCCCUGCACUUCGGGAUAAGCCUGGGAAACUGGGUCUAAUACCGGAUAGUAGCCAUUUUUAGUGUGAUGGUUGGAAAGUUUUUUCGGUGUAGGAUGAGCUCGCGGCCUAUCAGCUUGUUGGUGGGGUAAUGGCCUACCAAGGCGGCGACGGGUAGCCGGCCUGAGAGGGUGGACGGCCACAUUGGGACUGAGAGACGGCCCAGACGCCGACGGGAGGCAGCAGUGGGGAAGAUUGCACAAGGGGCGCAAGCCUGAUGCAGCGACGCCGCGGGGGGGAUGACGGCCUUCGGGUUGUAAACUCCGUUCGCUAGGGACGAAGCUUUUUGUGACGGUACCUAGAGAAGAAGCACCGGCUAACUACGUG